GACGAACGCUGGCGGCGUGCUUAACACAUGCAAGUCGAACGGAAAGGCCUCUUUCGGGGGGUACUCGAGUGGCGAACGGGUGAGUAACACGUGAGUAACCUGCCCUUGACUUUGGGAUAACUUCAGGAAGCUUGGGCUAAUACCGGAUAGGAGCUCCUGCUGCAUGGUGGGGGUUGGAAAGUUUCGGCGGUUGGGGAUGGACUCGCGGCUUAUCAGCUUGUUGGUGGGGUAGUGGCUUACCAAGGCUUUGACGGGUAGCCGGCCUGAGAGGGUGACCGGCCACAUUGGGACUGAGAUACGGCCCAGACUCCUACGGGAGGCAGCAGUGGGGAAUAUUGCACAAUGGGUGGAAGCCUGAUGCAGCAACGCCGUGUGCGGGAUGACGGCCUUCGGGUUGGAAACCGCUUUCGCUCAUGACGAAGCUUUGUGUGACGGUAGUGGGUAAAGAAGCACCGGCUAACUACGUG
rnacentral:rRNA from 1 species